CAAUCCCCUUGUGAUGGGCAGAGGCAGAGGCAGGUACCUUUGGCACAAACACCAGGCAGAGUGUGAUUGUGCUGCAGAAGAUGAUGACCAGGGCCACGAUGCAGAACUGCACGUUGGGCUGGUCCCGCGUCAGGAAGGAGACGGCAGCCCCGAUGAUGCACAUGAUCCCCACGUUGUACACGCUCAUCCCGAUGUACUUGCUGUCAUUGAGGGCAGGGAUGCUUACAUUGCGUGUUUCCCACGCUAAGAAACAACCGAACAACUGGAAUGGUGGACAGGAAGGAGAGAUAGUCAUCACCAGGCAGAGGCCCCUCUCACUCCUCGGCAAACUGCAGGAGCUUCAGGUUGCCACCAACUGCCUUCACGUGUGGCCCCAAGUUGCAUCCUGAGGGGGUGCAGACUGGGGGUGUGUCAGCCCUCCAGUUCUCCUUCACACUCACCACUGGCUCCUGCAGAGACCUGUGAGAGGCCGUGGGGGAAGGACCCUCACAUAAGGUCUUGAGUGUUUUCUCUCACUCUCUGUAGAAUACUGAGGUACAGAGAGGAAAGAUGACGGCCACACAGUACUGGAGUCCACAGUAGGAGUGGACUGUCCUUAUGGAAGCCCAGAAGAGUCCAGUCUAGUAGUUUUUCUAGUUGCCCUGUGACUCAACUUCUCUCAUCCCUACUGCGCAGAGCCACCUAGAACACAAGCAUUUCCCAUCCUCUCUAGAAGUGAAGUUGGCAUAUGGCAGAUUCUGGACGAUAUCCUGGAAGAGGGAAUGUGGUGCACAGGUUCUGGGCUGCACCCUUAAAGGGGAAGGAGUUGCAUUUCUUCCUUCAAAACAGGGCACACCACACACGUCGUCCUGUGAUGACCUGCCUUCUGAGGGUGACUUAGUUUGGCAUCCCGGGGCAGAAGCAGGAUGGACAAGCCAGAGGAUUUGGAAUGAUCUCUAUGAGUCACUGACCAUGAGCCUCUGCACAGGUCACUUGACCUCUCAAGGCCUCACAUGCAGCAUCUGGGAGAUGGGGUAACACUCCUCUCCCAGGGCCUCUGUUUGGAUGAUGUGUAGUGGGGUGUGGUGGUUUGAAUGUAAUUGGCCCCCAUAAGCUCAUAGGGAGUGGCACUAUUGGGAGGUGUGGCUUUGUUGGAGUGGGUAUGGCCUUGUUGGAGGAAGUGUGUCACAGUGGGGGUAGGCUUUGAGGUUUCCUAUGCUCAGGAUACCUCCCAGUGUCUCAGUCGACUUCCUGUUGCCUGCAAGAUGUAGCACUCUUCAGCUCCAGUACCACGUCUGCCUGCAUGCUGCCCUGCUUCUUGCCGUGAUCACAACGGACUGAAGCUCUGAAACUAAACGAAGACAAUUCGGAAGAUCCUCGUGCCCCUUCUGCCUCUCGGAAACAAGGCACCCCAAGAAACUGGAAUUUCCCCCGGGAAUCUCACUGACACCUGCUGCCAGCCAGCUGGAGAGCUUGUCUCUGGAGAGAGACUACUCACAGCUUGUCAUGCAGGACUGACCGGAGCCCACACAAGGGUGGCUGGAGGACAGUCUUGCAGCACACCUUGACCAGAACCCCUUUGCUGUGCCUUCCUCUGGCUCUCCACUUAAACCUAAAUUUCACGUGAGGACUCAAGGAUGACUUGGGAGGGGCUCACGGGAUCUCCUCGUCCCUCUCCCAAUAUGCCUGUGUUGAAUAAUCGCCCUUUCUACCUUUUUUUUU